UACAUUUUAGUGUAUGGUGCACAUAAACUUUUGAUGUUUUGAGAAAUAGUUUAAAUCUAUUGGAUGUAA
rnacentral:tRNA from 1 species